rfam:Kocuria rhizophila DC2201 DNA, complete genome.
CCGUCUCGAUCUGGUCCGGGCUGAUGAAGUGGAUGUGCGAGUCGAUCCCGCCCGCCGUGAGGAUCUUGCCCUCCCCGGCGAUCACGUCCGUGGCCACGCCGAUCACGAUGUCCACGCCGUCCAUCACGUGCGGGUUGCCGGCCUUGCCGAUCCGCAUGAUGUGACCGUCCCGCACGGCCACAUCCGCCUUGCAGAUCCCCGUCCAGUCGAUGACCACCACGUUGGUGAUCACCAGGUCCGGGACGUCCUCGUCCCGCCCGAGCCGCCCGUUCUGGCCCAUGCCGUCCCGG